AUUGAACGCUGGCGGCAGGCCUAACACAUGCAAGUCGAGCGAGCGGCGGACGGGUGAGUAAUGUAUGGGGACUGCCCGAUAGAGGGGGGUAACUACUGGAAACGGUAGCUAAUACCGCAUACUAUCGGAUAACCCAUAUGGGAUUAGCUAGUAGGUGGGGUAAUGGCUCACCUAGGCGACGAUCCCUAGCUGGUCUGAGAGGAUGAUCAUCCACACUGUGACUGAGUCACGGCCCAGACUCCUACGGAGGCAGCAGUGGGGAAUAUUCCACAAUGUUCGCAAGCCUGAUGCAGCCAUGCCGCGUGUAUGAAGAAGGCCUUCGUGUUGUAAAGUACUUUCAGUCGGGAGGCGUUACCGACAGAAGAAGCACCGGCUAACUCCGUGCCAGCCGCCGCGGUAAUUC
rnacentral:rRNA from 1 species